rnacentral:rRNA from 1 species
GACGGAAGGUGCAAGCGUUGCUCGGAAUCACUGGGCGUAAAGGGUGCGUAGGCGGCUUCUUAAGUCUGGUGUGAAAGCCCCGGCUCAACUGGGAGGGUCAUUCGAAACUGGUCGACUCGAAGGCAGGAGAGGGUAGUGGAAUUCCCGGUGUAGUGGUGAAAUGCGCAGAUAUCAGGAGGAACACCAAUUGCGAAGGCAGCUCGCUGGGACGUUACUGACGCUGAGACGCGAAGCGUGGGGAGCGAACAGG